rnacentral:lncRNA from 12 species
GACCCUGAAUUUGCAUGGGUGCCUAUUGAUGUCUAACGCCAGCUCCUAACCCCCCUCCCUUCUGCUCUUUAAACCAUAAUGGUGCCUGGAAAGUGUUCUCACAACACUGUAAUCCUAAGUUUUGGGACACUGGUCUCUGUAGAGAACUCAUUGUAAAGAUGAGAUCCUCUUUCAUUACAUCAAAGUUCUCCUCAGGGAACAGUGUACAGGUCCCUGCCUCAUGAGCUAACCAUCAAAGGAACAACUGGUAAAACUGAGGAAAUUCUGGAGUCUGUAGUUUAAAUUCCUCUAAGUCCUUAAAGUCACAAAUUCUAGGGAAUUUAGUAGUAUUUAAACAGAAGAAAACAAGGAGUUGUUUUGUUGUUUUUUUCCCUGUCAUCCAGAACAUUGUCCUUGGAAAGAGGAUGUGGGAUAGGACAGGGGCUAUAAAGCAGUUAAGAAGUCAUGAGGUAGCCUGCAGCAACUUUAAUCGAGACGAGCCUGAGGGCACUUUUUAUUCUCUGUUGAAGGUUAUUUCUUCUUGGGGGACUUAAAACCUUGGUGUCUACCCACACUCUUUAACUGGAAAUUUCUAGCCACAUCUGUCGCACAUCUGAGAAGAUCGCAUGUGCUUCUGUGGAUAUCUUGAGAAGUUCUGUUUGAACCCUCACAUUUUAUUCUAUUUUUCCAUCAGGUUCCGGUUUUGAAUUCCACGAGUCCUGACUCAGCGUCAGCCCUGAUGAAAGAAGAUGUCCUGCGUUCUUGGAUGUCCCUAAGGACCAUUGGGAACCUCCAUGUCCCAUGGGGCUGCCAAGCCAGGGCCACAGCUCAGCAUCCCUGCGAGUGACCGUGUCCCUGCCCUUAGGCCACUGGCCCUGCUCCUGUCACAUCUGGACCCAGCAGGUGGCAGUGGCCAGCAGUCGUCAGUGGGGACUCCUGCAGGGAGGCCGGGCUCUGGAUGCCACUGUCCAUCACAUCACAGUGCAGAGAUCUUCACUGUAGUCUGCAUGUUACCUCAAAGGCUGCUGGUGGUUUUCAGCGGAGCAGCCCUCACCUGUUCCCCAGGUGGAUCCAGUAGUUUGCAUUGGCACAAGGGUGUGCCUACGUGGGAACAGCUCUGACUCACGGCACAGCCAGGAGAGCCUAGUGGGCAGUGCAGACGGCAGCACUCCGCCUGGGCUGGCCGGGCCUCCUGAAGCAGACAGGACGGGCCAAGGAAGAUGCUGGAAGCUUACAGGUCCAGGUGGGCACAGACAGUCCCCGGGUGGCCUGAGGGGGGCUAGUGGGGACACGCUGUGGGACAGAAGGGGUGAUGGUGGGUUGGGGUCCAACUGGGGGGUCCUGGAUGGGCUCCAGACUUCACUGAAGGCCGGAUGCUGAUUCGGGGGCACUUGGUAAUUUUGUGAAGUAAACGGCGAAGGGAAGAGGAGGCCGUGCCCCUAAAUUCCCCUGCCCCACGGUCAGGCCUCGCAGGAUGUCACUCCGCAGUCCACUGCCUUUCCUCUCUGGCUACUGACCGCAGGCCCGGUCACCUGCCCGCGAGAGCCGGCAGCGCAGGGGAAGAAAGGCAGAGGCCCUGCCCCGCAUCCCGCCCUCGUCCUUCCGCAAGUCCCCGUCGAGGGCCCGUGUGUACAAGGCCCUUCCCACACCGACUGGCUCCUCGGGGGCCCAAUCUCAGGGGAGAAUGCACCUGAGGAGCGCAGGACCUCGGAGGCCCUCAGUACACCUGAGAGCAAAUAAACGCAUGACUCGAGUCCGCUCCCA